GCCGUAGGCUGCUCUUCCCAUCGUGCUCAAAGUUUCGUGUCAUAGCCAUCCUCAGCCGCGCCCAUGUUCGUGUCCGACGGCAUCUGGCCGCGCGCGCCACUUCCUAGCCGCACCCAGGCGCGCGACCGCUGCCUGCCCUGCGCCAGCGCUGCUCGCCUCCGCGUGCGUGUGGCCUCGCCCGAGUCGCCGCUGCUCCCUGUGUCUGUGCUGUUUAUUUUUCUUUUGUUUUGCUGCUGCUCCUCUUACCUGCUACCGCUACUGCUUGCCACAUCGCUGGCUGCUACUAUCGCUCCUGCUGCCUUCUAGCACCGCUGAUGGUGCUGUAACUUUGCUGCUGCUGGCCGUGGCCCGUCCGCCGGUGCUGUGUUGCCGCUGCUGCUUCGUGCUUGCUAUUGUUGCCGCAUGUAGGUACUGCUCAAGCUACGCCUGCUGCUGCUGAUCUGCUGGACUCCAGUGCGUGCGUACUCAUGUGGACUUAGUGCGUGCGUGCUCAUGUGGAAUCAGUGCAUGUGUGCCCAAUGCAAGUAGCCGGCUUGGCCAUGGCCGGGGCGGUUUCACCCAUCGCUGCUCUACUGCUGCUUGUCUGCUUCUAGCCACCGAUGCUACCUUUUAUAUACUACUGCAAGUACUGUAGUGGGUAGCUAGCUUUUGUAUUUCUACAAUAACUAGCCUUCUAAACUGCCACUAAACAGCGAUAAGACAAGUCCUAACAUGGGUAAAAAUUAUAUAAACGGAAAGUAGACGUAACAAGCCUCAUUUUGUUCCAUUGGACCUGCUUCAGAUAAUGCAUGGAUUAAAUCCUACAAAAAUCACAAAAUGAUAUCUGGUGUUAAAAGGAAUAGAGCUACUCCCUAUCAUUUUGUGUGCGAGUGGGCUGUGCCACAGCCGUGUGUGGCCGACAUGAUUAGUUUAGGCUAAUCUAGAUUAAUUGCGUAAUCUUUGUUAGGUUAGUUGCUAGCCUAUGGCAGGUGGACCUCUUUUAGUUAAGUUAGAUUUUAUUUAUUUUGUCUACAUAACUAGAAUACUAGGCCCGUAAGGGUUCAAUUUACCUAUUUUUUUGGAGUUUUUUUUAAUGCCCUUGUUCGCAUGACGCGUGUGAUGGGAGUGUACCUCCUUUUUUUAUCUCACUGAGCCUUUCACGUGAGAUGGUAGUACGGUGGUUGCUGGUUUGACUGAAUUGUGGUGUGCCACGUACUCUCCACGUGUUCGGCUCCCAUGCAUGAGAUAAUCUCUAGAAAACUCGGGUGAAGUCCUCCACCGCCCUAUGGGCCUACGAAAAGCCCACCUCACCCCGAUCAAAUGAAACCCUCGCUUCUCGAACCACCUCUCCUCUACGGGUCUCCAGGGUUGCGGAAAAAAAGCGGCGCCAGCAGGCUACGGGGAGGAGGGCAGCGCCCUGCCGACGAUUUAUCUGGCUACUUCCUCCCCGUCGAUCCCUGCCUGGACCAUACCGUCUCCAUCUUGAAGAAGGCUCGAUCUUUUCCGGCGUCAGAUUGAUGAGUUCGUGAUGUACGAAAAGAGAAUGCCUUAGAAAGACCGGUCAUACGAAAGAGCACUUAUUACUAUUGAAAUAUUAUGGUGACGAUGUUUAGCAGUCAUAAAAGGGAGAGAAAACGAAGGUUAAAAAUACUUCAAAGGAAUAGGACUGAAGGCUACCAUAGAACCUACAGGGUCUAGGAACACAGGAAUAAGAGAAAGUAGACUGUUCGGAUCACAGCAGCCUUAAGGGUUUUUAAAUUGGCCACAAGGCAGCUUUGUCUCUAUCUCUCACCCCAUCACGUCACACAUCAGCUCAUUUUAAUUAGCUCUGCAUGCUGACUGCCACGAUCAGAGCACCUCGUCUCGGUCUUCCGCGAAAAACAUGAGCUCCGGGCAGAUUUUUCAAUUCCUAUGGAAUCGGCAUCGAAAGGACAGGUUUCCUUUGGAUCACUGUAGGUCAUUCCUGCGUUUCGAACACCACAAAGGAAAAUAAACCUUCAUGAACAGUAUUCCUUCAUGAUUCCUGCAAAAAUCCUAUGAACCGAACGGAGCCUGAAUAUGGUCCAGUUAGUGGCGUAUUAUUCCUUGCAUUCAACACGUGUGUAUAACACCUCGACGAUGUGUUAUUCUAUAUUGAAGUUUUAAUGAACCUGAACUCUUCUGAUUAUUUUGUGUAAGCAUGAACUCUUGGCGUGCAGGUGUAAGUUGAUUUUUUUUUUCAAAAAAAAGGUGCAAGUCCUAUCAGGCACAUGGACAACUAACAUCAUGCUUCCUCUGUUUAGACAUUACUCUACCACGUAAUUGGUCUUUGGUUCUCUAGGAGAUCGUGGUCCAUAUUUGAUUAACUUACAAAAAUAUAUGCAUUAACAUGAAGCUUUGCUGGAGUAUUUGUGCAAAGGGUAAGUUAUGCGAAGGGUAAACAAUGCUUUAUUUGUUCUAUCUAAUCUAAAUUUUAAAAGCUUUUUGUAAGAAAAAUAUGGCCAGGCAUUUACCAACAGGCAAGAUCUAGCAGCUUACCUUAUUUUUAUUCCGGAUGUUUAGUCAUGCAUCCGAAUUUCCGGCAUGAUAGCUCACUUCUUUCAUGUGUAAAUAAUUCCCUCUCCAAGGGAUUCCUUAAUUUAUUUCUAUCCUAGCAGUUCGUACAUAUCUAUAUUUUGUGUGGAGCGUUUUCUAUUUCAUUUUCUUUUACUUUGUUUUGAUAUAUGGAUUCUGACUGUAGUAAUUCAGUUUUUCCACCAAUUGUUGGAUGCUUAAAUUACCUUCAAGAAGUGUUUUUUCCCGCUCCCACAUAGCAUGCAACAGUUAUAUGCAUCAUUUGACUGGCUGUGUCAUACAGUUAAAAGCUUAGUAUUUUUGCUCAUACAAGGAACAGAUUCAGUUCAGUUAAUUUAGCUCUAUUGGCUGUAUCAGUAAAACGUGGAAGUGUGCAAUUUUGCUGUACAUACUCCCCUAUUUGUAUCGGUUCAGUUAAUUCAACUCUAAUUAUGUUAGUUGUAAAACAUGGAAGAGUUGUUCGCUGGGGUUCUUUUCCCCCCUCUCCUUCUUUAAUGAAUGAUAUGCAUACUCCGUAUUCUAGAAAACAAAAUACAUAUCCCCUAUAUAUGCCCUUCUUAUCCUUUCUUAAAAAUAACUUGAUACGUACAAGAGAAUAAUUACUUCCUGUAGAUCUCCUUCCAAGUUUAUUUACUUGAUCCUUUUUCCUUUCACUUCCCUUGACCUAUUUUUUGGUGCACUGACAUGGUGUCUUCAGUGGAAAAUUCUGAUGCUUCUAUGCUUUCAUGACUGAAUAUUUUAAAUAUGAUUAAACAUAUGUUAUUUUCUCAUGGAAAAUCAAGUUAUAAGUAGCUUAAAUGCUUAUUGCUGUUGGCAUGAGAUCUAUGGGUUCUCUCUUAGUAAUCAAGCACGUCAACUUCUGCUUUUCAGAGAAGGUUCCAUGUUGCCAUGUUCUUUCUGAAGUUAAAUUGGCAUUACAAAUUUUGUGAUCAAUAGCUUUCAGAAGAAAAAGGUUGCUCAAGCUACUCUUCAUCAAGUUUGCACAUAUCACGGUAUAGUCAUCAACGACCACAAUCAUGAUGCGCUCAAGACAAUGUUCAGGAGUUAGUCAACAACACAAUAGUGGAGCGGAACCGAUCACUACUUAGUGAUUUGGAAAGCAGAGUACUAUUACUUUACAGAGGGAGUACAUUGUGGUACUUUGAUUUUUCUUUGCAAUAUUUAUUACAUAGAGAUAAUCUAGAGCAUUCUGGAGGGGAACUAAUCGGUAUGGAAUACUGAUGCAUAUGCAUUUUCUGGUGCAACUUGCUUCUAGGAUGUGGCAACCAUUUGAGAAAAUUUUAUACUUCCUCUGUCCUUAAUUAUUUGUUAGAUAAAUGGAUGUGAUACGAUCAAGGAUCCUCAAAAAAUUUAUCUCCCAUUUCAAGAUAAUUUGCCAAACCGUCGAGAGCCAGGACGUGCAUCCAGUAGCAACUUCAACAUUGUCUAGGCAUCAAACAAACCACCUGAAUAAGAGCAAAAGAACCAGCUUCAUCUAUCUACCACUACAUUGUAGAGACACACCCAGCUGGAGGAUCAACAUCUCAGGUCUAGGAAGAGAACAAGAGCUUCACAAUUCUGCAUUCAGUAUCCACUAUCACUACGUGUUGUAGAUCACCUAUGCAUGUACCAACUAGAUGUACCUUUUCCUGAUCACCUAUGCAUGUAUCAACUACAUGUACCUAUCCUUGUAUGAACUAUUUUGCUACGAUCGAGUUUUGG